GGGAAUGUGGCUUAGUGGUAGAGUUCUUGCCUAGCAUGCAUGAAGCCCAGGUUUGAUUCCUUAGUACCA
rnacentral:tRNA from 1 species